rnacentral:rRNA from 1 species
GACGAACGCUGGCGGCGUGCUUAACACAUGCAAGUCGAACGGAAAGGCCCUGCUUUUGUGGGGUGCUCGAGUGGCGACCGGGUGAGUAACACGUGAGUAACCUGCCCCUGACUUUGGGAUAACUUCAUGCAACUGGGGCUAAUACCGGAUAGGAGCUCCUGCUGCAUGGUGGGGGUUGGUAAGUUUAGGUGGUUGGGGAUGGAAUCGCGGCUUAUCAGCUUGUUGGUGGGGUAGUGGCUUACCAAGGCUUUGACGGGUAGCAGGCCUGGGCGGGUAACCGGCCACAUUAGACCGGGAAUGCGACCCAGACCCGAACGGGAGGCAACGGUGGAGAGUAGAGUACAAUGGGCUGAGGGCUAAUGCGGCAAAGCCGCGUGCGGGAAGACGGCAUGCGGGUUGGAUAGCGCUGUCGCCUUUGACGAGGCGUGAGUGACGGUAAUGGGUGAAGAAGCACCGGCUAACUACGUG